rnacentral:rRNA from 1 species
UCCAGACUCCUACGGGAGGCAGCAGUGAGGAAUAUUGGUCAAUGGCCGGAAGGCUGAACCAGCCAAGUCGCGUGAGGGAAUAAGGCCCUAUGGGUCGUAAACCUCUUUUGUCGGGGAGCAAAAGCCGGACGUGUCCGGCUGUGAGAGUACCCGAAGAAAAAGCAUCGGCUAACUCCGUGCCAGCAGCCGCGGUAAUACGGAGGAUCCGAGCGUUAUCCGGAUUUAUUGGGUUUAAAGGGAGCGUAGGUGGAUUGUUAAGUCAGUUGUGAAAGUUUGCGGCUCAACCGUAAAAUUGCAGUUGAAACUGGCAGUCUUGAGUACAGUAGAGGUGGGCGGAAUUCGUGGUGUAGCGGUGAAAUGCUUAGAUAUCACGAAGAACUCCGAUUGCGAAGCCAGCUCACUGGACUGCAACUGACACUGAGGCUCGAAAGUGUGGGUAUCGAACAGGAUUAGAUACCCGCGUA